rnacentral:rRNA from 1 species
CAGUCGCCGCGGUAAUACGGAGGGUGCAAGCGUUAAUCGGAAUUACUGGGCGUAAAGCGCACGCAGGCGGUUUGUUAAGUCAGAUGUGAAAUCCCCGAGCUUAACUUGGGAACUGCAUUUGAAACUGGCAAGCUAGAGUCUUGUAGAGGGGGAUAGAAUUCCAGGUGUAGCGGUGAAAUGCGUAGAGAUCUGGAGGAAUACCGGUGGCGAAGGCGGCCCCCUGGACAAAGACUGACGCUCAGGUGCGAAAGCGUGGGGAGCAAACAGGAUUAGAUACCCCUGUAGUCCCUGUCUCUUAUAC